UACGUAGGUGGCAAGCGUUGUCCGGAUUUACUGGGCGUAAAGAGCGCGCAGGCGGUCGUCCAAGUCGCGUGUGAAAGCCCCCGGCUCAACUGGGGAGGGUCACGCGAUACUGGUCGACUCGAAGGCAGGAGAGGGUAGUGGAAUUCCCGGUGUAGUGGUGAAAUGCGUAGAUAUUGGGGAGGAACACCAGUGGCGAAGGCGGCUCACUGGACCGGUACUGACGCUGAUGCGCGAAAGCGUGGGGAGCAAACGGG
rnacentral:rRNA from 1 species